rnacentral:rRNA from 1 species
GAUGAACGCUAGCGGUGCGCUUAACACAUGCAAGUCGUGCGAUCGAACCAGAGAGAUUUCCCUUCGGGGUUUGAAAGCUGGUCACGGAGCGGCGAACUGGUGAGUAACACGUAGCUAACCUACCCUCUUGACAGGAAUAACCAUUCGAAAGGAUGGCUAAUGCCCGAUGUUGUACGGAGUUGAUGACUUCGUACCAAAGGCGGUCAUGCCGCCACAAGAGGAGGGGGCUGCGCUCUAUUAGCUUGUUGGUAGGGUAAUGGCCUACCAAGGCGAUGAUGGAUAGCUGGUCUGAGAGGACGAUCAGCCACAUUGGGACUGAGAUACGGCCCAGACUCCUACGGGAGGCAGCAGUGGGGAAUAUUGGACAAUGGACGAAAGUCCGAUCCAGCGACACCGCGUGGGGGAUGAAGGCUUUCGGGUUGUAAACCCCUUUUCUGGGGGAAGAAUAAGGUUGGGAGGAAAUGCCCAUCCGA